AACUGGUGAGUAACACGUGGGAAACCUGCCCAGAAGCGGGGGAUAACACCUGGAAACAGAUGCUAAUACCGCAUAACAACUUGGACCGCAUGGUCCGAGYUUGAAAGAUGGCUUCGGCUAUCACUUUUGGAUGGUCCCGCGGCGUAUUAGCUAGAUGGUGRGGUAACGGCUCACCAUGGCAAUGAUACGUAGCCGACCUGAGAGGGUAAUCGGCCACAUUGGGACUGAGACACGGCCCAAACUCCUACGGGAGGCAGCAGUAGGGAAUCUUCCACAAUGGACGAAAGUCUGAUGGAGCAACGCCGCGUGAGUGAAGAAGGGUUUCGGCUCGUAAAACUCUGUUGUUAAAGAAGAACAUAUCUGAGAGUAACUGUUCAGGUAUUGACGGUAUUUAACCAGAAAGCCACGGCUAACUACGUGCCAGCAGCCGCGGUAAUACGUAGGUGGCAAGCGUUGUCCGGAUUUAUUGGGCGUAAAGCGAGCGCAGGCGGUUUUUUAAGUCUGAUGUGAAAGCCUUCGGCUCAACCGAAGAAGUGCAUCGGAAACUGGGAAACUUGAGUGCAGAAGAGGACAGUGGAACUCCAUGUGUAGCGGUGAAAUGCGUAGAUAUAUGGAAGAACACCAGUGGCGAAGGCGGCUGUCUGGUCUGUAACUGACGCUGAGGCUCGAAAGUAUGGGUAGCAAACAGGAUUAGAUACCCUGG
rnacentral:rRNA from 1 species